CAAAAAUAAUUGGUAGCUCUGUAAGGCCCCCGCUUUGUAUUCGUAUGGAGAUCACAUGGUCAUAACAUGAAAAAAGCUUCACUUUAUGGACGGCACAACUUCCGACCAUGCUUUCGACAGAGGAAUCCUUGCGCACAUGCACUACGCUCUAUGCAAUCACUAGUUCGAGGCACUGGAAACUUUCAAGACACGGAGGAAAAAGUUUUGAAGAAGUAAAUUUGACCUCAUUCCGCGGUUAAGAGACCAAGAGCAACCCAACUCUCCAGAUUUGUUUGAACAACCGGAAACAUCAGUAGAUCUUUCAAAAACAUGGCAACCUUCACCCGGCAGUUCAUUGACUCAGAUAUCCUGCGAUUCACCAUCCAGUCCAAAAACAAUUUUGACCCCCUCUGCAUUCCUCUACACCCGCUGUGCAAGGUCAGACAUCAUCUGCAGUCCCUGACAGGGGCCGUUAUGGAAAAAAAAGUCAGAAGUCAAGCAGAGCUCCUAACACCCCAGUAGUAUCCUGGAGGGCCUGUGAUAGACGGCGCAGUCCUGUGAUGACCCGUGCCCGGACCCCACAGGAGACUCCUAGACCUCAGACUGGAUCCCCUGCCCGUGCUUCCCAAGCUCAUUCCUCUGUAGGUCAGCGGCCCAAAACUCCAAGGAUUAAAGAGAGUGUUUCCAGUCGGUUUCCAAAUACCACAGAAGAACAAGUCGGAGUAGCUCUCGGUGAUCACCUAAAACAGACGCCAGCUCGAUGUGGUUGGGGGGCUACAGGAAAGACAGAACUUCCCCCUUCUGAUUUUUUUUCUAAAAGCCCCACAAAGUUCUUUAAAAACAAGUGUUUUUUUAAAACAAACGUUUUAAAUCUAUUUUUUUUUAUUUUCCUUUUCGCAUUGCGAGGCAAAUUUCAUAAAACCAGUUAAAAGGUUGUUAAAAGUAUUUAUAUUUGUAGUUUUUUAAACAUUUUUUCCACUGUUAUAAUGUGUAAUAUUUUGUUCAGUUUAUUUUGAAUUGUUUUAAUUUUUCCAAGUUCAAGGUUUAAAUUUAUGUUCUAUUUGUGUAACAUUAAAGAAAAAUUAUGCCAAGUCCAUGAUUGUAAUGGUUGUAUUCUGAAUGAAUGUACUGUAAUUGCAAUUCCAGUCUACUGAUGACAAAUGCCGAUUCGUGUUAAAUUAUGAAAAAGCAUGACAUUAGAUUAAAAAUGUAUUGUGAAAGGUCCAGAAAGAGACACACUGGCGAAAUAGUCGGGACAUCCUGAGAGUACAUCAAGGUAAGAAUUGCAGGUAAUUUCUCAUUUAGGCUUUUUUUGUGAGAGAGAUUUUUGUCUACAUU